rnacentral:rRNA from 1 species
GACAGAGGGUGCAAACGUUGUUCGGAAUUACUGGGCGUAAAGCGCGUGUAGGCGGCCCAGCAAGUCGGAUGUGAAAGCCCUGGGCUUAGCCUAGGAAGUGCAUUCGAAACUGCUGGGCUUGAGUUCUGGAGAGGAAGGCGGAAUUCUCGGUGUAGAGGUGAAAUUCGUAGAUAUCGAGAGGAACGCCGGUGGCGAAGGCGGCCUUCUGGACAGUGACUGACGCUGAGACGCGAAAGCGUGGGGAGCAAACAGG